AUAUCAAUAAGCGGAGGAAAAGAAACCAACAGGGAUURCCUUAGUAGCGGCGAGUGAAGCGGCAAAAGCUCAAAUUUGAAAUCUGGCACCUUCGGUGUCCGAGUUGUAAUUUGAAGAUUGUAACCUUGGGGUUGGCUCUUGUCUAUGUUUCUUGGAACAGGACGUCACAGAGGGUGAGAAUCCCGUGCGAUGAGAUGCCCAAUCCUAUGUAAGGUGCUUUCGAAGAGUCGAGUUGUUUGGGAAUGCAGCUCUAAGUGGGUGGUAAAUUCCAUCUAAAGCUAAAUAUUGGCGAGAGACCGAUAGCGAACAAGUACAGUGAUGGAAAGAUGAAAAGAACUUUGAAAAGAGAGUGAAAAAGUACGUGAAAUUGUUGAAAGGGAAGGGUUUGAGAUCAGACUCGAUAUUUUGUGAGCCUUGCCUUCGUGGCGGGGUGACCCGCAGCUUAUCGGGCCAGCAUCGGUUUGGGCGGUAGGAUAAUGGCGUAGGAAUGUGACUUUGCUUCGGUGAAGUGUUAUAGCCUGCGUUGAUGCUGCCUGCCUAGACCGAGGACUGC
rnacentral:rRNA from 1 species